UACGUAGGGUCCGAGCGUUGUCCGGAAUUACUGGGCGUAAAGAGCUCGUAGGUGGUUUGUCGCGUUGUUCGUGAAAACUCACAGCUCAACUGUGGGCGUGCGGGCGAUACGGGCAGACUUGAGUACUGCAGGGGAGACUGGAAUUCCUGGUGUAGCGGUGGAAUGCGCAGAUAUCAGGAGGAACACCGAUGGCGAAGGCAGGUCUCUGGGCAUUAACUGACGCUGAGGAGCGAAAGCAUGGGGAGCGAACAGG
rnacentral:rRNA from 1 species